rnacentral:rRNA from 1 species
GACGUAGGGCGCGAGCGUUGUCCGGAUUUAUUGGGCGUAAAGAGCUCGUAGGCGGCUUGUCGCGUCGUCCGUGAAAACCUGCAGCUCAACUGCAGGCUUGCGGUCGAUACGGGCAGGCUGGAGUUCGGUAGGGGAGACUGGAAUUCCCGGUGUAGUGGUGGAAUGCGUAGAUAUCGGGAGGAACACCAGUGGCGGAGGCGGUUGCCUGGAGCUUUGCUGACGCUGAGGCGCGAAAGCGUGGGGAGCGAUCCGG